GCCAGUGUGGUGCAGUGGUUUAAGCAUUGGAUUAUGACUCUGUAGACCAGGGUUCAAAUCACUGCUCAGCCA
rnacentral:tRNA from 1 species